CUGGAGGUAUCAGAAGUGCGAAUGCUGACAUAAGUAACGAUAAAGCGGGUGAAAAGCCCGCUCGCCGGAAGACCAAGGGUUCCUGUCCAACGUUAAUCGGGGCAGGGUGAGUCGACCCCUAAGGCGAGGCCGAAAGGCGUAGUCGAUGGGAAACAGGUUAAUAUUCCUGUACUUGGUGUUACUGCGAAGGGGGGACGGAGAAGGCUAUGUUGGCCGGGCGACGGUUGUCCCGGUUUAAGCGUGUAGGCUGGUUUUCCAGGCAAAUCCGGAAAAUCAAGGCUGAGGCGUGAUGACGAGGCACUACGGUGCUGAAGCAACAAAUGCCCUGCUUCCAGGAAAAGCCUCUAAGCAUCAGGUAACAUCAAAUCGUACCCCAAACCGACACAGGUGGUCAGGUAGAGAAUACCAAGGCGCUUGAGAGAACUCGGGUGAAGGAACUAGGCAAAAUGGUGCCGUAACUUCGGGAGAAGGCACGCUGAUAUGUAGGUGAAGCGACUUGCUCGUGGAGCUGAAAUCAGUCGAAGAUACCAGCUGGCUGCAACUGUUUAUUAAAAACACAGCACUGUGCAAACACGAAAGUGGACGUAUACGGUGUGACGCCUGCCCGGUGCCGGAAGGUUAAUUGAUGGGGUCAGCGCAAGCGAAGCUCUUGAUCGAAGCCCCGGUAAACGGCGGCCGUAACUAUAACGGUCCUAAGGUAGCGAAAUUCCUUGUCGGGUAAGUUCCGACCUGCACGAAUGGCGUAAUGAUGGCCAGGCUGUCUCCACCCGAGACUCAGUGAAAUUGAACUCGCUGUGAAGAUGCAGUGUACCCGCGGCAAGACGGAAAGACCCCGUGAACCUUUACUAUAGCUUGACACUGAACAUUGAGCCUUGAUGUGUAGGAUAGGUGGGAGGCUUUGAAGUGUGGACGCCAGUCUGCAUGGAGCCGACCUUGAAAUACCACCCUUUAAUGUUUGAUGUUCUAACGUUGACCCGUAAUCCGGGUUGCGGACAGUGUCUGGUGGGUAGUUUGACUGGGGCGGUCUCCUCCUAAAGAGUAACGGAGGAGCACGAAGGUUGGCUAAUCCUGGUCGGACAUCAGGAGGUUAGUGCAAUGGCAUAAGCCAGCUUGACUGCGAGCGUGACGGCGCGAGCAGGUGCGAAAGCAGGUCAUAGUGAUCCGGUGGUUCUGAAUGGAAGGGCCAUCGCUCAACGGAUAAAAGGUACUCCGGGGAUAACAGGCUGAUACCGCCCAAGAGUUCAUAUCGACGGCGGUGUUUGGCACCUCGAUGUCGGCUCAUCACAUCCUGGGGCUGAAGUAGGUCCCAAGGGUAUGGCUGUUCGCCAUUUAAAGUGGUACGCGAGCUGGGUUUAGAACGUCGUGAGACAGUUCGGUCCCUAUCUGCCGUGGGCGCUGGAGAACUGAGGGGGGCUGCUCCUAGUACGAGAGGACCGGAGUGGACGCAUCACUGGUGUUCGGGUUGUCAUGCCAAUGGCACUGCCCGGUAGCUAAAUGCGGAAGAGAUAAGUGCUGAAAGCAUCUAAGCACGAAACUUGCCCCGAGAUGAGUUCUCCCUGACUCCUUGAGAGUCCUGAAGGAACGUUGAAGACGACGACGUUGAUAGGCCGGGUGUGUAAGCGCAGCGAUGCGUUGAGCUAACCGGUACUAAUGAACCGUGAG
rnacentral:rRNA from 1 species